AAUCCUGGUGGCGAGUGGCGAACGGGUGAGUAAUACAUCGGAACGUGUCCUGUAGUGGGGGAUAGCCCGGCGAAAGCCGGAUUAAUACCGCAUACGCUCUACGGAGGAAAGGGGGGGAUCUUAGGACCUCUCGCUACAGGGGCGGCCGAUGGCAGAUUAGCUAGUUGGUGGGGUAAAGGCCUACCAAGGCGACGAUCUGUAGCUGGUCUGAGAGGACGACCAGCCACACUGGGACUGAGACACGGCCCAGACUCCUACGGGAGGCAGCAGUGGGGAAUUUUGGACAAUGGGGGCAACCCUGAUCCAGCAAUGCCGCGUGUGUGAAGAAGGCCUUCGGGUUGUAAAGCACUUUUGUCCGGAAAGAAAACUUCGGGGUUAAUACCCCUGGAGGAUGACGGUACCGGAAGAAUAAGCACCGGCUAACUACGUGCCAGCAGCCGCGGUAAUACGUAGGGUGCGAGCGUUAAUCGGAAUUACUGGGCGUAAAGCGUGCGCAGGCGGUCCGCUAAGACCGAUGUGAAAUCCCCGGGCUUAACCUGGGAACUGCAUUGGUGACUGGCGGGCUAGAGUAUGGCAGAGGGGGGUAGAAUUCCACGU
rnacentral:rRNA from 1 species